AUUGAACGCUGGCGGCAGGCCUAACACAUGCAAGUCGAGCGGAGCGGCGGACGGGUGAGUAAUGCCUAGGAAUCUGCCUGGUAGCGGGGGAUAACGUCCGGAAACGGGCGCUAAUAUCGCAUACUAUCAGAUGAGCCCAGGUCGGAUUAGCUCGUUGGUGGGGUAAAGGCCGACCAAGGCGACGAUCCGCAACUGGCCUGAGAGGAUGAUCAGUCACACUGGAACUGAGACACGGUCCAGACUCCUACGGGAGGCAGCAGUGGGGAAUAUUGGACAAUGGGCGAAAGCCUGAUCCAGCCAUGCCGCGUGUGUGAAGAAGGUCUUCGGAUUGUAAAGCACUUUAAGUUGGGAGGCGUUACCAACAGAAUAAGCACCGGCUAACUUCGUGCCAGCAGCCGCGGUAAUAC
rnacentral:rRNA from 1 species